UACGAAGGGGCUAGCGUUACUCGGAAUUACUGGGCGUAAAGGGCGCGUAGGCGGCGCUCCAAGUUAGGCGUGAAAGUCCUGGGCUCAACCUGGGAACUGCGCUUGAUACUGGAGUGCUUGAGGAUGGAAGAGGGUUGUGGAAUUCCCAGUGUAGAGGUGAAAUUCGUAGAUAUUGGGAAGAACACCGGUGGCGAAGGCGGCAACCUGGUCCUUACUGACGCUGAGGCGCGACAGCGUGGGGAGCAACAGG
rnacentral:rRNA from 1 species